UGGGGAAUAUUGCACAAUGGGCGCAAGCCUGAUGCAGCCAUGCCGCGUGUAUGAAGAAGGCCUUCGGGUUGUAAAGUACUUUCAGUCGGGAGGAAGGUGGUAAGGUUAAUAACCUUAUCAAUUGACGUUACCGACAGAAGAAGCACCGGCUAACUCCGUGCCAGCAGCCGCGGUAAUACGGAGGGUGCAAGCGUUAAUCAGAAUUACUGGGCGUAAAGCGCACGCAGGCGGUUGAUUGAGUCAGAUGUGAAAUCCCCGGGCUUAACCCGGGAAUUGCAUCUGAUACUGGUCAGCUAGAGUCUUGUAGAGGGGGGUAGAAUUCCAUGUGUAGCGGUGAAAUGCGUAGAGAUGUGGAGGAAUACCGGUGGCGAAGGCGGCCCCCUGGACAAAGACUGACGCUCAGGUGCGAAAGCGUGGGGAGCAAACAGG
rnacentral:rRNA from 1 species